rnacentral:rRNA from 1 species
AUGAACGCUGGCGGCGUGCCUAAUACAUGCAAGUCGAGCGAACAGACGAGGAGCUUGCUCCUCUGACGUUAGCGGCGGACGGGUGAGUAACACGUGGAUAACCUACCUAUAAGACUGGGAUAACUUCGGGAAACCGGAGCUAAUACCGGAUAACAUGUUGAACCGCAUGGUUCAACAGUGAAAGACGGUCUUGCCGUCACUUAUAGAUGGAUCCGCGCCGCAUUAGCUAGUUGGUAAGGUAACGGCUUACCAAGGCAACGAUGCGUAGCCGACCUGAGAGGGUGAUCGGCCACACUGGAACUGAGACACGGUCCAGACUCCUACGGGAGGCAGCAGUAGGGAAUCUUCCGCAAUGGGCGAAAGCCUGACGGAGCAACGCCGCGUGAGUGAAGAAGGUCUUCGGAUCGUAAAACUCUGUUAUUAGGGAAGAACAAAUGUGUAAGUAACUAUGCACGUCCUGACGGUACCUAAUCAGAAAGCCACGGCUAACUACGUG